GCUCCCAUCUCGUCUCCUGCCCCGGGCCGCCGUCGGCUGCCGGCCCUUCCGCGUGGGACUGCGGGAUGAAGCGCGGCGAGACGCGGCCGGAGCGCGGCUGGAAGCGCUGGUGAAGUCCGGCUCCGAUUUGCGUCGCUCGGAAGAACCCGCGUCUUCCUGCGGCGCUGCCCUGAGCGCCCCUGCGCUUUGUCUUUCCCGGAGGCCUUUCCUCGGCUACUGGCUGUUAAUGCUUCACCCACAAAACCUGAACAAGCCGCGCCGCACGAUCUGUUUAAACGCAGCCUGUGCGUGAGGAUGCUUCAUAUCCCCGUGUGGAAGCAUACACAUGUUUCAUCAGUCACAAAAACUUGGCUGGAGAAAGACAAAUCAGGAGGUUACAGACGGUGAUCAUUUUCUGAAGCUGUCUCUGCCCUGCGCUCUAUUUCUGACAGGUCACAGUGAAGCACUGCAUCUGAGCACAAGUUUAUUAUCUAAGUAUGGCUUGACUGGAAUGGAUUUGAGGUGCAUUUUCUGGUCCUUUCUUAAAUAUCUGACUCUAUGGACAUGUCCUGCCCAGCAUUACUUUGGGACAGGGCUGAGGUCUGAAAGUACGUGGCACAUGGAAAUGAAGUGCUGACGUGUUGGGGCAGACGGGGCUCUCACUUCCCGUUUGGCGUGGCGACAGUUCAAGUUGCUGUGCAGGCACAGAUCAGGCAGUUGUGUGAAGGAUGGCCUGGACUUUUAACAUACACAUAGCCAGAGCUAUGGGUGAAGAACACUAAAAAGAUGGAGCGCUGUGCUGUACAACAGCAGGUUGGUCACUGCUUUCAGGGACUGUGCCAGAAGGUUUCUUGGCACCCUGGGGACUCCCCGCCCCAAGCACUGCCAUUUCCAGGUGCACCCUUUCCCCGCUAACUGCAGCUGCUUGUUUCUGAGCCUCUUUGUGAUCCGGCCUCCUCCAGGGCUCAGCUUCACCACAAGCUUCCCCAUCGUGGGAUCCACCGCUCGGCUGCCAGGAGGCAGGCAGCAGUUACAUCACUGCUCAGCAUUGAUUAAGCAGCAUGUGACGCAACUCAGCAACCUGAACCUUAAGCCACAUACCUGUAAUAAGUCCCUUACACAGCCAAUCACAUUUUAUCCCCUCUCAUUCUCAUCUGUUUGACUUGAGCAUGUACCAAGCAUAUGCUUACCCCAUUAUCUGCAGUGCAGUGUGUUCAAUUCCAGCUGUACAUCUGAAGUGUUGGCAUUUUUCUGAGCUGUCCCUCCUGCUGCAACACCACUCACGUUUUGUGCAAACGCUAUGAGCCCUUAAACAGACUGCAGACAUGUUCCCAAAAUUCCCACUACUUCAGCUGCAAAGAUCCACUGAUAACUUUUGGUUCAGAGCUGAGGAUCACUGUCUUAGCCUGCAGAAAACACCUCACCUGAUCUGAUCUGAUUUGGCAAUUCUUCUGCUUGGGGGCAUAGCACGAACCCUGGAAGCCUGCAUCUUCUCCAGUUCAUGAUGCUGCACCCUGAUUGUGUCAACAGUAUCAGCACUUUCACUUAUAAUUGCUUCAGGCUCUGCUUCCUCUGCUGGCUCAGCAAGAGCAGAGGUAGCUGAACAUGCCUUUACAAGGACCAAGCUAAGACGCAGGUCUCUGCUAAUAUGAAGCAAUGCCAUAGGAGUGCCUGUGCUGUUUCUGCCUGCUCUGUGGUAUACAACAUUUCUCAGAGAUGAAGGAGCACAGAGAUGGGAGGAAGUUUAUGAGACAGAGGAGGCCUUGGUCCUGCUGCAGCCAGCAUCCCAGGCACGCUGGGGUGGUCUAAGGUGCCCUCAUGUCAGAGCUCUGCAGUGAACCAACUGGCACUCUGACAGCUGUGGCCUCAGUGCUGGAGCGUGCGUGGCUGCAAAUCAUGCUCUGGUCCAUAUUGACCAAGAUUUGUUGUAGUUGAAUGUAGCCCCAUUAAUUUGCAAGGUGGGUCACUUGUGUCUGCUGAGUGUCCUACUGUAACACAUACGAUGGGCUUUCAAAGUAUGCUUUUAAUACUUAGUAUAUCUUCUUUAAAUGUCAUGGGAUUACUUGGAGGCCAGGUGUGGAUGCUCACAGUUAAGAGAGUUUGGCAGCUGUUGCACAGA